rnacentral:rRNA from 1 species
UACAGAGGUCUCAAGCGUUGUUCGGAUUCAUUGGGCGUAAAGGGUGCGUAGGCGGCGCGGUAAGUCGGGUGUGAAAUUUCGGAGCUUAACUCCGAAACUGCAUUCGAUACUGCGGUGCUUGAGGACUGGAGAGGAGACUGGAAUUCAUGGUGUAGCAGUGAAAUGCGUAGAGAUCAUGAGGAAGACCAGUGGCGAAGGCGGGUCUCUGGACAGUUCCUGACACUGAGACACGAAGGCCAGGGGGAGCAAACGGGG